AUUGAACGCUGGCGGCAUGCUUUACACAUGCAAGUCGGACGGCAGCACAGAGAAGCUUGCUUCUUGGGUGGCGAGUGGCGAACGGGUGAGUAACAUAUCGGAACGUACCGAGCUGUGGGGGAUAACUAAUCGAGAGAUUAGCUAAUACCGCAUAUCCUCUGAGGAAGAAAGCAGGGGACCAUUUGGCCUUGCGCUGUUUGAGCGGCCGAUAUCUGAUUAGCUAGUUGGUGGGGUAAAGGCCUACCAAGGCGACGAUCAGUAGCGGGUCUGAGAGGAUGAUCCGCCACACUGGGACUGAGACACGGCCCAGACUCCUACGGGAGGCAGCAGUGGGGAAUUUUGGACAAUGGGCGCAAGCCUGAUCCAGCCAUGCCGCGUGUCUGAAGAAGGCCUUCGGGUUGUAAAGGACUUUUGUCAGGGAAGAAAAGGGCGGGGUUAAUACCCCUGUCUGAUGACGGUACCUGAAGAAUAAGCACCGGCUAACUACGUG
rnacentral:rRNA from 1 species